UACGUAGGGGGCUAGCGUUGUCCGGAAUCAUUGGGCGUAAAGAGCGCGUAGGCGGCCAGAUAAGUCCGGUGUGAAAGUCACAGGCUCAACCUGUGAAUGCCGCUGGAAACUGUCUGGCUAGAGUCCGGAAGGGGCGAGUGGAAUUCCUGGUGUAGCGGUGAAAUGCGCAGAUAUCAGGAGGAACACCGAUUGCGAAGGCAGCUCGCUGGAACGUUACUGACGCUGAGACGCGAAAGCGUGGGGAGCGAUCCGG
rnacentral:rRNA from 1 species